rnacentral:rRNA from 1 species
AUGAGGCCAUGGCGCUGCAGAUGGAUGGGUUCGGUGUUGCUGUGGGGAGCUCCUCUCCCGUAUGGAGCAAUGGGUGGACUUGGCAGCAGGUGCUCCGGCGAGGAACUUGGCGGGGCGACGGAUCCUGCGAGGACGCGGCUUGGGAAACCCCGGCGCGUGCGAGGCGAACUGGAGACCGGCGAGGAUGGUCCCUGGUGUUCCUGUUACAGAGAGCAGAAGAGUGAGAGAUGGAGAGGGAGAAAUGGAGGGAGAAGAAAACAUGCGAUGAAGAGGAGCGACGGGGAACGCUUGACCUGGCGGGGGGAUUGGCAAGGCUCAUCGGCGGCGAGAGCUUCGGUGGCCGGGGCUCCUCUCCUGUUGGGCUCGAGCGAGGCAACAAGGAGGAGGCAGGUGCGAGACCUCCUGUUCGUCUGCUGCGGCUGGAAGGACGAGGAGGAAGACACGCAAGGUGGAGCUCGGGCGCGCUGGAUUGGGGAAAAGGAGGAGGUUGGAGAGGAUUUGGAUCGAGAGGAGGGUGGCUCUGGUUGGCUGGGUGAUGGGAUCGAGGGAGAUUGA